rnacentral:rRNA from 1 species
GACGAACGCUGGCGGCGUGCUUAACACAUGCAAGUCGAACGGAAAGGCCCUGCUUUUGUGGGGUGCUCGAGUGGCGAACGGGUGAGUAACACGUGAGUAACCUGCCCUUGACUUUGGGAUAACUUCAGGAAACUGGGGCUAAUACCGGAUAGGAGCUCCUGCUGCAUGGUGGGGGUUGGAAAGUUUCGGCGGUUGGGGAUGGACUCGCGGCUUAUCAGCUUGUUGGUGGGGUAGUGGCUUACCAAGGCUUUGACGGGUAGCCGGCCUGAGAGGGUGACCGGCCACAUUGGGACUGAGAUACGGCCCAGACUCCUACGGGAGGCAGCAGUGGGGAAUAUUGCACAAUGGGCGGAAGCCUGAUGCAGCAACGCCGCGUGCGGGAUGACGGCCUUCGGGUUGUAAACCGCUUUCGCCUGUGACGAAGCGUGAGUGACGGUAAUGGGUAAAGAAGCACCGGCUAACUACGUGCCAGCAGCCGCGGUGAUACGUAGGGUGCGAGCGUUGUCCGGAUUUAUUGGGCGUAAAGGGCUCGUAGGUGGUUGAUCGCGUCGGAAGUGUAAUCUUGGGGCUUAACCCUGAGCGUGCUUUCGAUACGGGUUGACUUGAGGAAGGUAGGGGAGAAUGGAAUUCCUGGUGGAGCGGUGGAAUGCGCAGAUAUCAGGAGGAACACCAGUGGCGAAGGCGGUUCUCUGGGCCUUUCCUGACGCUGAGGAACGAAAGCGUGGGGAGCGAACAGGCUUAGAUACCCUGGUAGUCCACGCUGUAAACGGUGGGUACUAGGUGUGGGGUCCAUUCCACGGGUUCCGUGCCGUAGCUAACGCUUUAAGUACCCCGCCUGGGGAGUACGGCCGCAAGGCUAAAACUCAAAGGAAUUGACGGGGCCCCGCACAAGCGGCGGAGCAUGCGGAUUAAUUCGAUGCAACGCGUAGAACCUUACCUGGGUUUGACAUGGAUCGGGAGCGCUCAGAGAUGGGUGUGCCUCUUUUGGGGUCGGUUCACAGGUGGUGCAUGGCUGUCGUCAGCUCGUGUCGUGAGAUGUUGGGUUAAGUCCCGCAACGAGCGCAACCCUUGUUCACUGUUGCCAGCACGUUAUGGUGGGGACUCAGUGGAGACCGCCGGGGUCAACUCGGAGGAAGGUGGGGAUGACGUCAAGUCAUCAUGCCCCUUAUGUCCAGGGCUUCACGCAUGCUACAAUGGCUGGUACAGAGAGUGGCGAGCCUGUGAGGGUGAGCGAAUCUCGGAAAGCCGGUCUCAGUUCGGAUUGGGGUCUGCAACUCGACCUCAUGAAGUCGGAGUCGCUAGUAAUCGCAGAUCAGCAACGCUGCGGUGAAUACGUUCCCGGG